UUUACAGGUGAUAUCCUCACUCCUGAUAGGAUGAGGUCCAUUAUAUCUAACAGUGCUGAUCUAUGAAGGGAGGAAAGAACAUAACAUGCAAGAAGACGUUGAGGUUAACACGAGUGGCCUUGUAGGGGGGCAGUGGAGCUUGGCCAGAUUCUAUGUACUUUAGAUCCUCCACAAGACGAUCGUAGUGUAUCUUCACUUCUUCAGGAGAUUUGCCACCUACAGCCUUGGCCACAUUUUGCCAGCGGUCUGGGGUGUCCUUGUCAUAUACAGCCAAGGCCUUUUCAAACAGCUUGUUUUGUUUGGGUGUCCAGGACGAGUUUGAACCAUUUGAAGAAGACGAGAAUUUGCUUGAUGCCAUUUCCCUU
rnacentral:misc_RNA from 1 species